rnacentral:rRNA from 1 species
CCUACGGGAGGCAGCAGUGGGGAAUAUUGCGCAAUGGGCGAAAGCCUGACGCAGCGACGCCGCGUGAGGGAUGAAGGUCUUCGGAUCGUAAACCUCUGUCAGCAGGGAAGAACGGUCACUGUGCUAAUCAGCAGUGAAUUGACGGUACCUGCAAAGGAAGCACCGGCUAACUCCGUGCCAGCAGCCGCGGUAAUACGGAGGGGGCGAGCGUUAUUCGGAAUUACUGGGCGUAAAGCGCUCGUAGGCGGUAUGUCAAGUCAAGGGUGAAAUCCCAGCGCUAAACGAUGGAACUGCCUUUGAAACUGGGCAGCUGGAGUGCGGGAGAGGUAAGCAGAAUUCCUGGUGUAGGGGUGAAAUCCGUAGAUAUUAGGAGGAACAUCAGUGGCGAAGGCGGCUAACUGGACCGUAACUGACGCUGAGGAUCGAAAGCGUGGGUAGCAAACAGGAUUAGAUACCCGAGUAGUC